rnacentral:rRNA from 1 species
UGGGACCUACGGGACGCAGCAGUAGGGAAUUUUCGUCAAUGGGCGCAAGCCUGAACGAGCGAUGCCGCGUGAGUGAAGAAGGCCUUCGGGUCGUAAAGCUCUGUUGCGGGGGAAAAAAGGCAGCAUCAGGAAAUGGGUGCUGACUGAUGGUGCCCCGCCAGAAAGUCACGGCUAACUACGUGCCAGCAGCCGCGGUAAUACGUAGGUGGCGAGCGUUAAUCGGAAUUACUGGGCGUAAAGCGCUCGUAGGCGGUAUGUCAAGUCAAGGGUGAAAUCCCCGCGCUCAACGUGGGAAC